rnacentral:rRNA from 1 species
AAAUGAAUAGACGGGGGCCCGCACAAGCGGUGGAGUAUGUGGUUUAAUUCGAAGCAACGCGAAGAACCUUACCAAGACUUGACAUCCCUUUGAAUACUGCGUAACUGCAGUAGGCCUUCGGGACAAAGGUGACAGGUGGUGCAUGGUUGUCGUCAGCUCGUGUCGUGAGAUGUUGGGUUAAGUCCCGCAACGAGCGCAACCCUUAUCCUAAGUAGCUAGCAGGUAAUGCUGAGCACUCUGAGGAGACUGCCGGGGAUAACUCGGAGGAAGGUGGGGAUGACGUCAAAUCAUCAUGCCCCUUAUGUUUUGGGCUACACACGUACUACAAUGGCUGCUACAAAGAGAAGCGAGACCGCGAGGUGGAGCAAAGCUCAUAAAGGCAGUCCCAGUUCGGAUUGUAGGCUGCAACUCGCCUACAUGAAGUUGGAAUCGCUAGUAAUCGCGAAUCAGCAUGUCGCGGUGAAUACGUUCCCGGGCCUUGUACACACCGCCCGU